GCCAGGAAUAAUACUGGCCCAGCGCGAGGAGGAUUUGGUCGAGGUGGGCCCGGCCGUGGCAGAGGCGGACGGGGAGCUGGGAUCGGUGGGAAUAGGGAUUUUGGUAACGGGAAUAGUAAUGGAUAUGGAGGAGGUUACGGAGGAGGUGGUGGAUCUGUUGGUGCUGAAGAAGGCGUGGGCAAGCCUGUUGACGGGGAGAGGGAACGCGGAUCGUAUGCUCCAUCGUGGCAGUCGUCACCGGGCAGUCGUCGUGGCGGGUAUUAUGGUGGCCGCGGCGGCUAUGGCGGUGGGUACGGUGGCGGCGGCGGCGGGUAUGGUGGUGGGUAUGGGAAUCCAGAGGCUGGAGGCGAUGCUGAACGCCGCCCACGGAGGGAUGCUGGAGGUGACUCUGACCGUGGUCCACGGAGGGCAUUUGACCGACACAGUGGCACUGGCCGCCCGAGUGGGUUUAAGCGUGAGGGAGGAGGACCCAGGAACUGGGGUACUGUGAAUGAUGAUGUGCUUGCACAGGAAACUGAGGAGGUCCUGAAUGUUGAAGAGAAGUCUGCAGCUGAUAAGCUCCCAGAGCAGGGAGAUGUGCCCACCGAAGCUAUUAAGGAAAACAAAGAAAGCCCAACAGCUGAAGUAGAGGAGAAAGAAGAGGAUAAGGAGAUGACCCUAGAGGAAUAUGAGAAGAUAAGGGAGGAGAAAAGAAAAGCACUUCUGGAAAUGAAAGCUGAAGAGAGGAAAGUUGUAGUUGACAAGGAGUUGGAGGCCAUGAAGCCGCUUUCUGUUAAAAAAGCAAAUGAUGACAUUUUUAUUAAGUUGGGUUCUGACAAGGGCACUGGAAAAAAGAAAGAAA
rnacentral:misc_RNA from 1 species